CCUACGGGAGGCAGCAGGGGGGAAUAUUGGACAAUGGGCGCAAGCCUGAUCCAGCCAUGCCGCGUGAGUGAUGAAGGCCUUAGGGUUGUAAAGCACUUUCAACGGUGAAGAUUAAGACGGUAACCGUAGAAGAAACCCCGGCUAACUCCGUGCCAGCAGCCGCGGUAAUACGGAGGGGGUUAGCGUUGUUCGGAAUUACUGGGCGUAAAGCGCGCGUAGGCGGAUUAUUAAGUCAGRGGUGAAAUCCCGGGGCUCAACCCCGGAACUGCCUUUGAUACUGGUAGUCUAGAGAUCGAGAGAGGUGAGUGGAAUUCCGAGUGUAGAGGUGAAAUUCGUAGAUAUUCGGAGGAACACCAGUGGCGAAGGCGGUGACUGGCUCGAUACUGACGCUGAGGUGCGAAAGCGUGGGG
rnacentral:rRNA from 1 species